GACAGAGGGGGCAAGCGUUGCUCGGAAUUACUGGGCGUAAAGGGUGCGUAGGCGGCGCGGUAAGUCGGGUGUGAAAUCUUGGAGCUUAACUCCGAAACUGCAUUCGAUACUGCCGUGCUUGAGGACUGGAGAGGAGACUGGAAUUUACGGUGUAGCGGUGAAAUGCGUAGAUAUCGUAAGGAAGACCAGUGGCGAAGGCGGGUCUCUGGACAGUUCCUGACGCUGAGGCACGAAGGCCAGGGGAGCAAACGGG
rnacentral:rRNA from 1 species